rnacentral:tRNA from 1 species
GGUUGUAGCUCAGUGAUUGAGCACUUGUCUCAUAUGCAUGAGGUAUUGGGUUCAAUUCUCAGCACCA